AGAGCUGCAAGAGUCUGGAGGGAGUACAAUUUUGGCUUAUCAGUCUCUAUAGUGCAGGAAAGUAGUUGAACAAGAAUGAAAUGGCUGUUGAGUGAAUCCUCCUUAUCCUCUGUGUUCACCUAAAGAAACUGAGUGUUUGGUUUAAGUAGAUCACACAUUCUAUUGUAACUUGUUUUUCGAGUUGUUUAAGACCAAGCUAGUCCAAUUGACCGUGUUCCUUUCUCUGUUAAGAGUGAGUUUUAUCUCAGCUUGAAAGCAAAGUCUCUAAGAUGGCUUCAGCUGUUCUGCCAAUCACACCAGAACGACCAAAAGGAGGAGAAAGUUAAACUACGUGACUGUUUCCAUAGUUGCAACUUUUCUGCAGGAAAGAAGGAAAUCUUACAAAAUGUUUUCAAAUGUUUCUGCAUGAAUACCUUGUACAUUUGCAGUUUAGACAUAGAACUUUUGUUGUUGCUCCUGCAGAUAGUAAGACAAAAUCUGGACCUUUUAAACUAGAUAGGGCAACAGUUCUACCUAUUCAGAUUUUGAGUUAUUUUCACACAUUUCAACUACUCCUCAAAUCCCUUCUCUGCCUCAUGCUUCCCAGCCCCAUUGACCAGCUUAGGGGACACUAAGUGAGAAGAGAGUUUUGUAGCCACAUGGAGGAUAGUCCUAAGUAUACUAUAGAGUGGGGCUCUGAAAGGUAAAGGCACUGCAAGGCUACUUUCAGAGAAGGAAAAGAAGGAAGCCCUCAGAAGAGGGAAAAAGGAGGAAGAAAGCAGAGAUUGCCAAAGACAAAUUUCACCUACUUCACAAGUCUGUCUGUACCUGGUGUUGUAGCAAAGAGGGAAGCUUGCCUACUGGCUCCAGAUUAUCCAGCCUCCAUCUUAAAGAUUCAAAUAUAAAUCAGAACAGAAUUGAGUUAAAGAAGACAAGAGCUCUAGAAAUGAAAUGAAGCACCAGGUUUCCAUAAAUAGCUGUUGACUUUAUUUACUUUCUGACAUUUUAGAGGGAUCUAGUUGUGAUAUGCCAGGCAUCAUAGUUCAGUUUGGAGACAGAUUCAAUGAUUGAUAAUCCAGUUAACAUCAUUUAUACCUUAUGAAAUAAUUGAUUCUCAUUCUUAGCCUUCUACACCUAUAAAAUCUGACCCCCCAUUCUGCUAAAUCAUGGAAUCUCGGCUAGGCAUAAAGCCACCCAUCUAGAAACUACAUUUCCCUACCUCCCUUGCAGCUAUGUGUGGCCAAUAGAGUAUGAGUAGAAAAGAUGGUGCAUUUGCUUAAGUUGCUUGAAAAACAAUUUACUUGCUCUUCACAUUCUCUUUCUCCUUUCUACAAGCUGGAGUACUGAUGUGUGCUGAAAUCGUUUCUACCAUGCACAACACUGUAAAGCGUGGCCAUGUGACCACACCCCACCUAGACCACACACUCCCAGAUGUUACAUAAUAGAAACAAACUUCUUCUUUGCUUGUACACCUUAUUUUGAGAUCUCUUGGUUAUGACAGUUUCUAGUGUGCAGGUAACAUGUCUAUGGUAAGCCUCCAGGAAGUGGAUCUGGAUUGCUGGGAAACCACAGCUUGGCUUCUAUAUAGUCUCAUAUUUUCCAUUUUUGUACCAUACACACAUAUUCCCUAAUUAUUAAAAAUUCAUUGUCUAAUUCAUUGGUUUAUUAAUAUCUUUGAAUCCCUGUUAAAUAAAACAACCAGUGCUUCUAGCUAAAGAAGCUAUAACAAAUUUGUUAUUUUUCAUUAGAACAAAUCCCACC
rnacentral:lncRNA from 1 species